rnacentral:rRNA from 1 species
AUGCCUGCCAGCGGCAGCAGCGACAGUGUGGCCGACAUGAUGGCCAAGGCGGUUACGAGCUCUGGCGACUUCUACGGUGGGCGCGACGGGGUGCAAGGCAUCCAAGACCGCAAGGACGCCGUUCGAGAGAAGCGCCGCGAGCAGAAGAACACGCUCUCGCAGUGGUACGGCAUGAAGAAGAGGCCGCUCAGUGAGGACCAGAAGCAGGAGAUUGAGCUGCUCAAGUACCGCAACUUUGUGGACCCAGAGCGUCAGCACCAAGCACCCAAGAAGGCAGCCGGCGUAGGGGAGAGCGAGUUCAUGGAGUUCGGCUACUUUGCCGAUGUGGGGCGCAACAAGCGUCGUCGCUACAAGUCCUUCGCGGAUGAGUGGAUUGAGGAGAACCCGCAGUUCGAGGAGGUGGUCGCCACGCGUAUCAAGCGCAACACGAAGGUGAAUCAAAAGUCGAGGGCGGCCGCCGCGAAGAAGGCGGCGGUAGAGGCGGCCAAGGCGAAGGAGAAGCGUGCCUCGAAGCGCAAGUCCAAGCACGACGUGUUCUAA